UAUAGUUUGCUAUUGGUAAAAUAUAUAUAGAGAGAACUAUAUAUCAAGGGAAGGCGAGCAAAUGGUUUUGGAUCUGACAGUCCACCUCAUAUUCUUCUCAAAAUCGCUUCAGAAGUACCUAAACAGUGGGAGAUUAAGUUUGAGUUUUCCUUUGUGUAUGGAGUGGACCCAAACCUACGCAGAUCUGUUUUAUUGGCAUGGGAACGUGAGAUUAAAAGAGAAACUUGACUGUCUAUUGGGGGAAGAAAAAAAAACCUGCUCUGAACAAUGAAGUUAGUUGCUUUGCAGGAGGCAAACACUCAGACAUUUGAUUAGAAAGUUACGCAAAAUGUGUAUCAGAAUAAAACCAGGAACAUCUGGGAUGAUUUGCGCAGCAUGCGGAAUCUGGGCUUUGAAGUAUGAAUUCCUGAUAAUUAAAUGAUUUCCAGAACCUUGUGCUCCAGGACUGCGGUGGACUGCCCUCCUUGAAGAAACCACCCACGUAAUAAUGACCCCGGAGAGCAAAACAAAACCCAACUGGCUUCAAUGCAAACUUCGCCAAAUGACUGGACUCGCCUGAAGACAGGCAAACUGGCAGGAUAAUUCUGCUCUGGAGGGGUGAAAAAUAAAAUAUAUCCGCGGCAACAACCCACAUAGGGUUUGGCUGGUUAUUAUUUUUUUAAGGCAGUAGCUAAAAGACACCGUGACCAAAGUCCAAAGCAGCCUUGGUUCCAAGUCAGAUAUCUACUAUAUCCAGCUUCCGUGAUGAAAUGAGAGAGAAAGAAGGAAAGAAAGAAGCCAUUUAACAGCUACACCUAAUUCCACGCGGUCUGCUUUAUUCGUACUCCUGUUACGCACGUAUUUCUAGAACUGCGUACAUCUCCCACUUGAAGAAUAUGGUAGUUUAUUGCGCACACUGGAAAUGUUAAAGAGAGAGAGCGAGAGAGAGAUGCUAGCAAGUGCUUAAAAUUAGUUACCAUUGUUUUGCAUUGUUGAUUUUCCUGAGUUUAAUUGGCUUAAUUUAUUUUAUGUGUGCUUUGAUGUUAAACAUUAUUUGAUGCUAAUGAAAUAGUCACAGUCCACAAUAAAGCAUUCGAAAGAGUGGGGAGGGGACAACAAACCCCAAACCAUCGCAAAAUAUCUUGUGUCCUUGGUAAAGGGUCAGAUUAGUCACACGAAUCUAUAUAUAAUAUAUAGAGAGGGGUUUUUUUAAUUGUUUCUUGCUUCUCUGCUUUUACCUUUCCCGUCUUUUUCCCAGUAGACUAAUCUGUGCAGAUAUUUGGAGGAAGGGAAAAGAGUGAAAUCUGCAAAUCCAUAUUCUUGGCAAUUGUUUUUUAUACCCAACUAUGAGUUUUAUUUCGCUAAAUGUUUUAAAUUAUUAACAUCUGUAGCAAUGUUAUUAAAAUGUUAAAUACGACUGUUAUGCUGAAAAGUAUCGGGCACGAAUAAGAUGACAUAUCAGGGGAAAUUAAAAGGGAUAUUUUCUUUAUAUCCUGAAAUAAACAACUGAAUUAUAAUAAUGCAAACACAUAUGAAAAGUGCAAUGAACUGAACACCGUUUUAGACUAUU